rnacentral:rRNA from 1 species
GAUGAACGCUGGCGGCGUGCCUAAUACAUGCAAGUCGAGCGAACGGACGAGAAGCUUGCUUCUCUGAUGUUAGCGGCGGACGGGUGAGUAACACGUGGAUAACCUACCUAUAAGACUGGGAUAACUUCGGGAAACCGGAGCUAAUACCGGAUAAUAUUUUGAACCGCAUGGUUCAAAAGUGAAAGACGGUCUUGCUGUCACUUAUAGAUGGAUCCGCGCUGCAUUAGCUAGUUGGUAAGGUAACGGCUUACCAAGGCAACGAUGCAUAGCCGACCUGAGAGGGUGAUCGGCCACACUGGAACUGAGACACGGUCCAGACUCCUACGGGAGGCAGCAGUAGGGAAUCUUCCGCAAUGGGCGAAAGCCUGACGGAGCAACGCCGCGUGAGUGAUGAAGGUCUUCGGAUCGUAAAACUCUGUUAUUAGGGAAGAACAUAUGUGUAAGUAACUGUGCACAUCUUGACGGUACCUAAUCAGAAAGCCACGGCUAACUACGUGCCAGCAGCCGCGGUAAUACGUAGGUGGCAAGCGUUAUCCGGAAUUAUUGGGCGUAAAGCGCGCGUAGGCGGUUUUUUAAGUCUGAUGUGAAAGCCCACGGCCCAACCGUGGAGGGUCAUUGGAAACUGGAAAACUUGAGUGCAGAAGAGGAAAGUGGAAUUCCAUGUGUAGCGGUGAAAUGCGCAGAGAUAUGGAGGAACACCAGUGGCGAAGGCGACUUUCUGGUCUGUAACUGACGCUGAUGUGCGAAAGCGUGGGGAUCAAACAGGAUUAGAUACCCUGGUAGUCCACGCCGUAAACGAUGAGUGCUAAGUGUUAGGGGGUUUCCGCCCCUUAGUGCUGCAGCUAACGCAUUAAGCACUCCGCCUGGGGAGUACGACCGCAAGGUUGAAACUCAAAGGAAUUGACGGGGACCCGCACAAGCGGUGGAGCAUGUGGUUUAAUUCGAAGCAACGCGAAGAACCUUACCAAAUCUUGACAUCCUUUGACAACUCUAGAGAUAGAGCCUUCCCCUUCGGGGGACAAAGUGACAGGUGGUGCAUGGUUGUCGUCAGCUCGUGUCGUGAGAUGUUGGGUUAAGUCCCGCAACGAGCGCAACCCUUAAGCUUAGUUGCCAUCAUUAAGUUGGGCACUCUAAGUUGACCGCCGGUGACAAACCGGAGGAAGGUGGGGAUGACGUCAAAUCAUCAUGCCCCUUAUGAUUUGGGCUACACACGUGCUACAAUGGACAAUACAAAGGGCAGCGAAACCGCGAGGUCAAGCAAAUCCCAUAAAGUUGUUCUCAGUUCGGAUUGUAGUCUGCAACUCGACUACAUGAAGCUGGAAUCGCUAGUAAUCGUAGAUCAGCAUGCUACGGUGAAUACGUUCCCGGGUCU